rnacentral:rRNA from 1 species
ACGAACGCUGGCGGCGUGCUUAACACAUGCAAGUCGAACGGUGAAGGAGAGCUUGCUCUUUGGAUCAGUGGCGAACGGGUGAGUAACACGUGAGUAACCUGCCCUUGACUCUGGGAUAACUGCUAGAAAUGGUAGCUAAUACCGGAUAUGACGACCGAUGGCAUCAUCUGGUUGUGGAAAGAAUUUUGGUCAAGGAUGGACUCGCGGCCUAUCAGGUAGUUGGUGAGGUAAUGGCUCACCAAGCCUACGACGGGUAGCCG